rnacentral:rRNA from 1 species
GCGGGCUGGAACCUCUCGGGGUUACAGCCUUGCUGAAUUAUUCACCCUUGUCUUUUGCGUACUUCUUGUUUCCUUGGUGGGUUCGCCCACCACUAGGACAAACAUAAACCUUUUGUAAUUGCAAUCAGCGUCAGUAACAAAUUAAUAAUUACAACUUUCAACAACGGAUCUCUUGGUUCUGGCAUCGAUGAAGAACGCAGCGAAAUGCGAUAAGUAGUGUGAAUUGCAGAAUUCAGUGAAUCAUCGAAUCUUUGAACGCACAUUGCGCCCUUUGGUAUUCCAAAGGGCAUGCCUGUUCGAGCGUCAUUUGUACCCUCAAGCUUUGCUUGGUGUUGGGCGUCUUGUCUCUAGCUUUGCUGGAGACUCGCCUUAAAGUAAUUGGCAGCCGGCCUACUGGUUUCGGAGCGCAGCACAAGUCGCACUCUCUAUCAGCAAAGGUCUAGCAUCCAUUAAGCCUUUUUUCAACUUUUGACCUCGGAUCA